rnacentral:lncRNA from 1 species
AAAGGUUUUUAAAAUACCAGAAAAGCAGUGCAGCAGAUAGCUGGAUGGAGGGGCUGAGAGCAGUGGAGGUGAGAUAAUCAGCCAACUGUACAAACCAGAAAGCCAGGAAUGGUUUCCAUUAGAGGCCAUCUGGAUGUAAAUGACUUCAUGUGCAGCUCUGCAUUGAAUGGCACAGCGUCACCAGGGAAAAGCACUAAAACCACAUCCUGUCACAGACAGUCACAGAUCGGAAAUCCUGAGGGUAACAGCUCACCCUAUCAAGUGCCCUGCAGAGCCACUUGGGGUAAAUCAGAUGAAGGACGGAGGAUGGAGGCAUUCUGCACUCGAGUUAAAAUCAAGCCAAGAAAUGAAUCUCUUGUUAGGAAUUUUGCCUGGUGAAUCAUGUUGAACUGAGAGCUGUCUGUGGUGAGCACAGGCAAUAUCCAAUCACUAGCUGUACUUCACCUCCUCACAGUUACACCCUGCUGUGUGAGGAAAGUGUCUCUCUUCCUCAGAAAACAAGAUCCAAGGUGCAAAACCCAUCAACUGGGGCGUCAUGGAAUAUCUUGGAAAAUUUUAGAGCUAGUAAUUUCCUUCUGCCAGGAAUAAUUUGGUUUAGUCUUUCUUUUUCUAAAUGUCCACAUCAGCAGUGGAAUAGCAAAACAUGAAUUGGACUGCCUAUGGACCGUGAUUUACUGUCACUCUUUCCGACCAGGCUUAGACUACAGGCAGGUACUAACCCAGAAGGCAGAAGUCUGGAGGCCUGAAAGAAUUACAGGACAAAAUACUGGCCCCUCACAGGAACUGAGCAAGACUUGAGUGUCGGAAGUCCAGACAUGUAUUACAUUUAUUCAUUAAACAAUGAUGUACUGAGUGGCUAUGUUGAACCAUUUGCUUCAUCACACAACUGGGACACAUUGGUGGUGGAAUGCACAAGAAUCCUUGUGAAAUGAAGUCUGCACAUUCUAAAAGCAGGAGACCAGCAAUUAACAAUACAUGUGAUAACAGAGUAAAUUCUGCAGUGUGUUGGAAGCUGAGAAAUUCUACAGGAAAAAAUAAGGUAGGGCAGUAGGGACCAAGAUGUCAAGUUUCAAAGAUGGGGUCUGCAUCUCAUGGCCCAUGUUUCAGAAGUUUCAGUCCACAGUUAGCUGGUUCCAUCCCCUUAAGCCUGUGGUGAGGCUGAAGCAGCAUGGUUUCUACCACGAAAGGGCACGGCAGAGGAAAACUGCUCAUCUCAACGUGGCCAUGAGGCAGAGAAGAAGAGAAAGGGCCAGACAGGAAGGGGCCAGGGUGUGAAAUACUCUGCAAAGACGUGGCACCUCCACUUAGACUAUCACCUCCUAACAGCCCGUUCAGCUAAGGAGCUCAUCAGCGGGUCGACCCACGGGUGAAGUUAGCAUCUUCUUGAUUUCAUCACCGCUGUGGGCCCCACCUCUGAACACUGCCGCACCGGCGUUCAAGCCCUCAGUGC